rnacentral:rRNA from 1 species
CCUACGGGAGGCAGCAGUGAGGAAUAUUGGUCAAUGGGAGAGAUCCUGAACCAGCCAAGCCGCGUGAGGGAAGACGGCCCUAUGGGUUGUAAACCUCUUUUGUCGGAGAACAAAACCCGGGACGUGUCCCGGACUGCGUGUAUCCGAAGAAAAAGCAUCGGCUAACUCCGUGCCAGCAGCCGCGGUAAUACGGAGGAUGCGAGCGUUAUCCGGAUUUAUUGGGUUUAAAGGGUGCGUAGGCGGUCCGUUAAGUCAGCGGUAAAAUGGCGGGGCUCAACCCCGUCGAGCCGUUGAAACUGGCAGACUUGAGUUGGCGAGAAGUACGCGGAAUGCGCGGUGGAGCGGUGAAAUGCAUAGAUAUCGCGCAGAACUCCGAUUGCGAAGGCAGCGUACCGGCGCCAGACUGACGCUGAGGCACGAAAGCGUGGGGAUCGAACAGGAUUAGAUACCCCAGUAGUC